UACGAAGGGGGCUAGCGUUGUUCGGAAUUACUGGGCGUAAAGGGCGCGUAGGCUGUGCUGUAAGUCAGGCGUGAAAGGCCCGGGCUCAACCUGGGAACUGCGCUUGAUACUGCGGCGCUUGAAGACGGGAGAGGAUGGCGGAAUUCCCAGUGUAGAGGUCGAAAUUCGUAGAUAUUGGGAAGAACACCGGUGGCGAAGGCGGCCACUCUGGGCCCGUUAGUUCGACGCUGACGGCUGCG
rnacentral:rRNA from 1 species